GCGACUGUGGGAUGAGGCUUCUUCUGCUUCUUGCCCCUUCUGUGCUAGCUCACAUCUGGACUCCCUCGGAGAGAGCUGACUUUCACAGAGGAUCCCAGUCAACACCAUGCACAGGAACUGAAGUACCCAAGGACUUCAGAAUUACUGUUUGCUCUAGAAGCAAUUAUGAACACAGCUCCUGCCCAGAAGUUCUGCAGAUGUAUUAUAUAUGCAGGUCCCCAGAUUUUCAGCCAGCCCUUCAAUAACUCAUCUUGGGCACUGGGCACUAUUUUAGAACAAUUGAGAAGUUGCGGCAGUGGCAGACCUCGCAGGUGAGGAGGUCCUGAGAUGUGGGCGAGGUGGGGGCCCAGGGAAUCCCUUCAGCUGUUGCAGAAGGCAUUGAAGAAAUAAAAAAGCAUCAAGGUUUCUGGACACUCAAUUUGAACUCUAUUAAAUGAAACACAGGCCCUUUGAGAGAGGUGUUUGUUCUGGAUUCAGCUGUGCUGUGCUCAGAGAAUGGCCUGUGGGGAAAGAUCUGUCACAGGCAUGCAGGUGUCUGGUUUGAGACAGAGGACUCCCUCCAGCCUGUUUGUGAGCCAGCCAAUUCUGUAAUUGAAGAUGAGCCUGACCUGAGCACCCCUGGGCUCUAUGGAGAAGGCCGCUCAGCCUGGCCUCUGUGCGAGCUCAUCAGCGACAGUCUGUCCACCCUCCUGCAUUCAGGCAGCGCUUCUUCCAUUUUGGCCCCGUGGAGGGCCAUGGGAUGAUGUCAGGGUCCCCACAUCAUGUGCAGUGACAAACACGGAGCACAGUAAAACACAAGUUCACAGAGGCUCACUGCUUGUCUCUCCAAGUGGCCUGUUGCAACCUGAGACAGUUCCAACCAUGCAAAAGUUCUUUAUAUAUUUAGGGGUAAAACACUGCACAGAUGAUCCACGAAAGGUAUGAGGGAAAAAAAAAUGAUCUGUUAUUUUAGCAUUGAUCUAGAAGCAACAGCCAAUGCAGUGGUAAGAAAAAAGAAAGAAAUUCAAUAUUAGAGAGGAGAAAACAAAAUUAUCAUUAUAUACAGUUGAUACUUUCAUAUACAAACCAAGAGAAUUGAUGGAAAAAAUAUUAGAAACAAUAAAAGAAUGAAGUGGCUAGUUAUAAAAUCAAUAGCUUUUUUAUCUUUAACUUUUUAUUGUGAAAUGUAUCACAUACACAAACAUAUAAUUGUGCAUGGACAUAUAAUUAAAAAAAAAUAAUAUAUAUAUACUAUUUAAAAUUGAGGGAGUAACCAAUACUCUCUGAUCACAUCCCCUUCUUCCCUUCAGAAAUAAUAAUAAUCUCAUUGCUUUAUUUACUUUAUAAUUUAGCCACAAUUUCAUGUAUCCCUUAAUUAAUAUAUUGCUAGCUUUGAUACUCUUAAUUCAUUCCUUUCACUUAUCAUUAUGUUCCUGAAUCAUCUAUGCUGCUGCUGAUAUAGUUUAUAAUUUAUUCAUUUUCAUUGUUCUGUACUAUUUUGUCAGUGAAUAUGUGUCAUCCUUUCUUUGAAAUUCUGAAAGUAAAAAAACUUGAACUGAUGUUUACAGUAUUUAUUGAUCAAUUUAGUAUAAAAACUCAUGUUUUUACUUCAGAAAAUGUUACAUGUUUGAAUUUGAGGUGUUACAUCAUCUAUAUGUAUUUACAUGUAUACAUACAUAUUUGUGUGUUUAUUCUUUGUCUUUCUAAAAUUAAAAAAAAUCCCACUGAAUAUUUUGGAUGAAAGAUUAUUGACGUGUCCUGUAAUUUAGUUAGCCAUUCCCAAUCCAGUGGACAUUUGCAUGAUAUACCAACUGCUGUGAAUGUUCUUGUAUAUGUCGUUCAGUGCACGAGUGCAAGACUUUCUCCAGGGUAUAGAUCUAGGAGUGGAAAUGCUGGAUCAUGAGGUAUGCAUGUGUUUGGCUUUACAAAACGCCCAAUUGUCAAAGAUGGCUAAACAAUUUUUAUGUCAACUGACAAUAUAUGAGAGUUCCCUUUGUGUCAGAUCCUCAUUUAGUGCUGUUAGAUUUUAAAAUGUCAUAUCAUGUUGAAUGGAUAUUUGUAUAUCCUUCUGGUUUAAAAUUUUGUUUCUCUGUCACUAAUGGGGUUGGGCAUCGUUCCACAUGUUCAUGUACUAUUCACAUUUCAUCCUUUGUGAAGUGAUUGGUGCAUCUUUUGCUCAUUUUUCCAUUAAGGUUUUAAUUUUUUCUUAUUUAUUUGUGAGAGUAUUUUAUACACUGAAUGUACAGAUCCUUUAUUGGUAUAUAUACUGUAAAUAAUCCUUUUCCAUUUGUGGCUUACUG